AUUAUUAAAUAUAAAAAAAAGUAUAAUACUUUAUGGACAAAUAUAUUUUUCAUUGAACAAUAAAAAUA
rnacentral:tRNA from 1 species